GUUUUAUUGAUGAAUAGUUUAAAUUAUAUAGUAUAGUAAUAUUUUAUAACAGAUAUAAUAGUUGCUAACAAUCGUGCAAAUGUUAUGUCUUACAAUGUAUGUGGUGGUUGGUAGCUUAUUGAUAGGUCUUAAAAUGUGGAAAUAUAAGGAGUUAAACGUCAUUUGUAACCACAUUACAAGUUUAAUGUUAUAGAAAUAGCGUAUGAAAAAAGACGACUUCC
rnacentral:lncRNA from 1 species